rnacentral:rRNA from 1 species
UGCUCGAGUGGCGAACGGGUGAGUAACACGUGGGUGAUCUGCCCUGCACUUCGGGAUAAGCUUGGGAAACUGGGUCUAAUACCGGAUAGGACCGCACUUUAGUGUGUGUGGUGGAAAGUUUUUUCGGUGUAGGAUGAGCUCGCGGCCUAUCAGCUUGUUGGUGGGGUAAUGGCCUACCAAGGCGGCGACGGGUAGCCGGCCUGAGAGGGUGUACGGCCACAUUGGGACUGAGAUACGGCCCAG